rnacentral:rRNA from 1 species
AUCCUGGCUUAGGAUGAACGCUAGCGGCAGGCUUAACACAUGCAAGUCGAGGGGCAUCGGGAGUAGCAAUACUUGCCGGCGACCGGCGCAAGGGUGCGUAACGCGUGAGCAACAUGCCCGUAUCAGGGGGAUAAUCCAUGGAAACGUGGUCUAAUACCCCAUAGUAAUUAUGUAAGGCAUCUUAUAUAAUUUAAAGCUUUGGUGGAUACGGAUCGGCUCGCGUGACAUUAGCUGGAUGGUAAGGUAACGGCUUACCAUGGCUACGAUGUCUAGGGGUUCUGAGAGGAAGGUCCCCCCACACUGGAACUGAGACACGGUCCAGACUCCUACGGGAGGCAGCAGUGAGGAAUAUUGGACAAUGGAUGGAAAUCUGAUCCAGCCAUGCCGCGUGCAGGAAAGACGGCCCUAUGGGUUGUAAACUGCUUUUGUAUGGGAGCAAUAAGGGCUACGUGUAGUCCGAUGAGAGUACCAUACGAAUAGGCACCGGCUAACUCCGUGCCAGCCGCUGC